GCCUUCGUGGUGUAGUGGUCUGCAUGCUCGACGCUUAAUCGAGAGGUCCGUGGUUCGAUUCCCGGCGAAGGCG
rnacentral:tRNA from 1 species